rnacentral:rRNA from 1 species
UACGUAGGGUGCGAGCGUUACUCGGAAUUACUGGGCGUAAAGCGUGCGCAGGCGGUCUGCUAAGACAGGUGUGAAAUCCCCGGGCUUAACCUGGGAACUGCGCUUGUUACUGGCAGGCUGGAGUGUGGCAGAGGGGGGUGGAAUUCCACGUGUAGCAGUGAAAUGCGUAGAGAUGUGGAGGAACACCGAUGGCGAAGGCAGCCCCCUGGGCUAACACUGACGCUCAUGCACGAAAGCGUGGGGAGCAAACAGG